rnacentral:lncRNA from 1 species
CAAGUUCCCCCAGGACCUCCCAGGAUGAAAUGAGUGGCACCGAUGAGAAGGAAGCAGGUGCUAAAGUCCGUCGUACCAGGGUGCAAACCCCGCCUCGAGGCCCUGUUCCUGGGAUGCGCAGAGGGCAUGAUCAAGAACUGAACUGGCUGGUGAGCAGAAGAGACUGAGGAACUAGUGCUUUACCACGAAUGGUCAGAACCAUUAGCUGAUGACUUUGAGAAUGAGUCUGACACAUACAUUCAACACAAAGAACAAACCAAGCGUU